rnacentral:rRNA from 1 species
UACGUAGGGGGCAAGCGUUGUCCGGAUUUAUUGGGCGUAAAGAGCGUGUAGGCGGCCAUACAGGUCCGUUGUGAAAACUGGAGGCUUAACCUCCAGACGUCGAUGGAAACCGUAUGGCUAGAGUCCGGAAGAGGAGAGUGGAAUUCCUGGUGUAGCGGUGAAAUGCGUAGAUAUCUGGAGGAACACCGGUGGCGAAGGCGGCAUCCUGGACCGGCAUUGACGCUGAGGCGCGAAAGCCAGGGGAGCAAACGGG